rnacentral:ncRNA from 28 species
ACACUAUUAGCGUAGUACUUCCUUGUAAUUUGGGGGAUUGGCCCCAGAGCAUCCACGAUCCGGCCGUAACCGGAUGUAUCCAGGGAAAGCAAAAAAAAUACU